rnacentral:rRNA from 1 species
GUGGGGAAUAUUGGACAAUGGGCGAAAGCCUGAUCCAGCCAUGCCGCGUGUGUGAAGAAGGUCUUCGGAUUGUAAAGCACUUUAAGUUGGGAGGAAGGGCAUUAACCUAAUACGUUAGUGUUUUGACGUUACCGACAGAAUAAGCACCGGCUUACUUCGUGCCAGCAGCCGCGGUAAUACGAAGGGUGCAAGCGUUAAUCGGCAUUACUGGGCGUAAAGCGCGCGUAGGUGGUUCGUUAAGUUGGAUGUGAGAGCCCCGGGCUCAACCUGGGAACUGCAUCCAAAACUGGCGAGCUAGAGUACGGUAGAGGGUGGUGGAAUUUCCUGUGUAGCGGUGAAAUGCGUAGAUAUAGGAAGGAACACCAGUGGCGAAGGCGACCACCUGGACUGAUACUGACACUGAGGUGCGAAAGCGUGGGGAGCAAACAGGAUUAGAUACCCGUGUAGUCC